UGGGAACGUACCCUUUGGUUCGGAACAACCCAGGGAAACUUGGGCUAAUACCGGAUAAGUCCGUAAGGAGAAAGAUUUAUCGCCGAAGGAGCGGCCCGCGUCCGAUUAGCUAGUUGGUGAGGUAAUGGCUCACCAAGGCUACGAUCGGUAGCUGGUCUGAGAGGAUGGCCAGCCACAUUGGGACUGAGACACGGCCCAGACUCCUACGGGAGGCAG
rnacentral:rRNA from 1 species